rnacentral:misc_RNA from 1 species
GGAAGUAAAAGUCAUAACAAGGUUUCCGUAGGUGAACCUGCGGAAGGAUCAUUACAGCGUUUGCGCCCGUUAGGGUAGACUUCCCCCCUUUGUGUAUUUGUACUUUGAUGCUUUGGCGAGGUCAUGCUGACUAGAGACUACCCAAACUCUUUUUCUUCCUGUCGUAUGAGUAAUAUAUAAUAGUUUAAUUUUUCAACAUCGGAUAUCUUGGUCCCGGCACCGCAGCAGAACGCAGUUGAUCGGAAUAGCACACGUCUGAACUUCAGUCUCGCAAAAUCAACUUGAAUGCUGGACUUU